GCCUGCUUAGCUCAGUUGGUAGAGCAGUAGUUUUGUAAACUAUCGGUCAUCGGUUCAAGUCCGUUAGCAGGCU
rnacentral:tRNA from 1 species